rnacentral:rRNA from 1 species
CCUACGGGAGGCAGCAGUGAGGAAUAUUGGUCAAUGGACGAGAGUCUGAACCAGCCAAGUAGCGUGAAGGAUGACUGCCCUAUGGGUUGUAAACUUCUUUUAUAAAGGAAUAAAACGAGGCACGUGUGCCUUUUUGCAUGUACCUCAUGAAUAAGGAUCGGCUAACUCCGUGCCAGCAGCCGCGGUAAUACGGAGGAUCCGAGCGUUAUCCGGAUUUAUUGGGUUUAAAGGGAGCGUAGAUGGGUUGUUAAGUCAGUUGUGAAAGUUUGCGGCUCAACCGUAAAAUUGCAAUUGAUACUGGCAGUCUUGAGUACACUUGAGGUAGGCGGAAUUCGUGGUGUAGCGGUGAAAUGCUUAGAUAUCACGAAGAACCCCGAUUGCGAAGGCAGCUUACUAAACUGUGACUGACAUUGAUGCUCGAAAGUGUGGGUAUCGAACAGGAUUAGAUACCCUUGUAGUC